rnacentral:piRNA from 1 species
UGUAGCAAUGCAGACCUAUAUAUAUAU